UGAGUUGCAGAGUCAUGAAACGUGACGGAAUUCCUCUCGGGUAUAAUGUCCAAAAAUUGACGCCACGGAGUCGACCGAGUAUGACAACGCGCUUUGGUGUAUAUGCAUAAAGGAAUAAUCUGAAUGGUGGUAAAAACUCGUCAGCACAAUGUAAACAUUCGUUUAUGGUGUGUGAGGCUUCAUCUUCCCUGCCUGGAAACUGACCGGAGAAUCUCAGUCAAGCAUAACAUUCUCAAUUCAAUCUCCGCAAGCGCAUACUCAAGUCAGAUAUUGUGUGGUGUGUAUCUUCCUUUGCUCACUGAUAUCUGGAACUUGAUACAUCAUCUGUUGCUGUUAUCCCAGUAGAAGUUUAGUGAAUAGAAGGAAGAAUCUUCCUUGAAGUGAUCCCGUUACAGGAACUACACGUGUUGGAUAAUUGGCAUUGGGCAGCUUCAUCGAUAUCAGUAAAUGCAAUUGGGCCAAUUAUUGCCUGUACUAAUGCCUGCGUUACCAAUGGAAUUUUGAGGCUUUCGUGUUUGAUGAAUAUCGAGGAUCCAUUUUCCGGAACAUCUUGGAAUCAGUCAUGUGGACUGAUUAAUCAGACCUACCGCGUCAAACCUGCUACCAGUGGUAGGGCGAGGGGCGCUGGUGACUUGAUCUACAAUUACAUCGACCAAUAUCAGUUCGAGCGACAAGUAAUUUGUACAGUUCCGGACGUAACGAUCACUCAAUAAAGAUCGCCAAGAAGAAAGUUUAGGAUACGGUUCUUCGACUGUAAGGAUUCGGUGGAUUUGAGAGACGAAGUUUUGAAUUAAAAAACCGCCAAGAUGUGGUAAAUCAGAUGCGUGAUAAAAAGGAUAUUAUGUCGAACAACACUGCGCGGUAUGGCCUAUUCCAUAUGUAGGUCAAUACGGCUUAUUGUCAGCCCGGAACGCUCAUCAGUUAUGAACUUCAGAUAUAGUCCAUUCUACCUUCUCAGUGCCGUACAAAGUAUUCCUCUUCCCACUCAUCCGGCGAGACUUCACAGAACUAGUUGCUUGUACCUUGUGCAAAAUCACAUCAGUGAACGAGAUUAUCGUCAUCAUUUUGCAACCUACCUUCGAAUCUCGAGAAGCAUCAAACAGCCGCGACCUGAGGUACAUGGCCUAGUACAAUUUAUAAUUUGUCGCAUAUUCCUUGCUAAUUAGCUGAGUCUGAUUAUAUGUAAUUUUAUUAUUGUAAAUUUACUAAGCGAGUGGGUCAUUAAUCUGCCCUCCAUCUGUCAUGAAUUGUCCAUUUGUGAGCGACUAAGGUCGUAGCUUUGUGAAACGAUCGUUAAGGCUUCAAAUUUCGUAGUUGUAUCUUAUAAAAUCGACAUAUUAUUACACCAACUAUUUUUAUUUGUAGUUUAUUUUCUUGUAUCGUUCUAUAUCAAAGAGAAAAAAAAAUAUUACAACACACUAUUGCGUAAAGACAAUCUAGAUUAUAUACAAUAAUACGGCUAUAAUAUAAAAAUGAAAGAAUUAUUCAUUUCAAAUGGGACUCUAUUCGACACGCGCUCGAUGUAUUCCAUAAUAUUAAUAUUCAUAAUUAUUCCAACAACUUUUCAUUUGCUCUCUCGAUCUUGAAUUUUCGUAGGCAUAGAAUCGAAACGCUGUUUUAGCGAGUCCCAAAUGAAGUAUCUACGUUGGGUAGAGAAGCAGAAUUGUUUUUAGAAAAGUGUUCGUAUCGUAGGUUAUAUCUUGAAUAGUAAUAAAUAUUUUCAGUAUAAGAACACAUAAAAAACAUUGUGUAAGGAUAACUAUAAUCAGUUGGUUAAUUAAUAAUAUAAUAAAUUUUAUUAUCGCAUUUAUAGCUACUGAAGUUGUGCUUGCGCGAAAAAUGAAUUA
rnacentral:lncRNA from 1 species